UACGGAGGGAGCUAGCGUUGUUCGGAAUUACUGGGCGUAAAGCGCACGUAGGCGGCUUUGUAAGUUAGAGGUGAAAAGCCUGGGGCUCAACCCCAGAAUUGCCUUUAAGACUGCAUCGCUUGAAUCCAGGAGAGGUGAGUGGAAUUCCGAGUGUAGAGGUGAAAUUCGUAGAUAUUCGGAAGAACACCAGUGGCGAAGGCGGCUCACUGGACGUGGGUAUUG
rnacentral:rRNA from 1 species